rnacentral:rRNA from 1 species
CAAUAGCAUAUAUUAACGUUGUUGCAGUUGAAAAGCUCGUAGUUGAACUUUUGGUAGGAGCGACCUGUCCUUGGGCGCAUGCCCUUGUUUGCCGUGUGUCGUGUCUGGCCAUCCUUUUCCGCUUCGGCGGGAAUCUUUUACUGUGAGUAAACUGGAGUGCUCAAAACAAGACGUUUGUUUGGUACAUUAAAGCAUGGAAUAAUAAGAUAGGACCUGGUUACUAUUUUGUUGGUUUGCAUAGCUAGGUAAUGAUUAACAGGGACAGUUGGGGGUAUUCGUAUUUAAUUGUCAGAGGUGAAAUUCUUGGAUUUAUGAAAGACGAACGACUGCGAAAGCAUUUACCAAGGAUGUUUUCAUUAA